GACGAACGCUGGCCUUUAUGCUUACACAUGCAAGUCGAACGGAAAGGCCCUGCUUUUGUGGGGUGCUCGAGUGGCGAACGGGUGAGUAACACUUGAGUAACCUGCCCUUGACUUUGGGAUAACUUCAGGAAACUGGGGCUAAUACCGGAUAGGAGCUCCUGCUGCAUGGUGGGGGUUGGAAAGUUUCGGCGGUUGGGGAUGGACUCGCGGCUUAUCAGCUUGUUGGUGGGGUAGUGGCUUACCAAGGCUUUGACGGGUAGCCGGCCUGAGAGGGUGACCGGCCACAUUGGGACUGAGAUACGGCCCAGACUCCUACGGGAGGCAGCAGUGGGGAAUAUUGCACAAUGGGCGGAAGCCUGAUGCAGCAACGCCGCGUGCGGGAUGACGGCCUUCGGGUUGUAAACCGCUUUCGCCUGUGACGAAGCGUGAGUGACGGUAAUGGGUAAAGAAGCACCGGCUAACUACGUGCCAGCAGCCGCGGUGAUACGUAGGGUGCGAGCGUUGUCCGGAUUUAUUGGGCGUAAAGGGCUCGUAGGUGGUUGAUCGCGUCGGAAGUGUAAUCUUGGGGCUUAACCCUGAGCGUGCUUUCGAUACGGGUUGACUUGAGGAAGGUAGGGGAGAAUGGAAUUCCUGGUGGAGCGGUGGAAUGCGCAGAUAUCAGGAGGAACACCAGUGGCGAAGGCGGUUCUCUGGGCCUUUCCUGACGCUGAGGAGCGAAAGCGUGGGGAGCGAACAGGCUUAGAUACCCUGGUAGUCCACGCUGUAAACGGUGGGUACUAGGUGUGGGGUCCAUUCCACGGGUUCCGUGCCGUAGCUAACGCUUUAAGUACCCCGCCUGGGGAGUACGGCCGCAAGGCUAAAACUCAAAGGAAUUGACGGGGCCCCGCACAAGCGGCGGAGCAUGCGGAUUAAUUCGAUGCAACGCGUAGAACCUUACCUGGGUUUGACAUGGAUCGGGAGUGCUCAGAGAUGGGUGUGCCUCUUUUGGGGUCGGUUCACAGGUGGUGCAUGGCUGUCGUCAGCUCGUGUCGUGAGAUGUUGGGUUAAGUCCCGCAACGAGCGCAACCCUUGUUCACUGUUGCCAGCACGUUAUGGUGGGGACUCAGUGGAGACCGCCGGGGUCAACUCGGAGGAAGGUGGGGAUGACGUCAAGUCAUCAUGCCCCUUAUGUCCAGGGCUUCACGCAUGCUACAAUGGCUGGUACAGAGAGUGGCGAGCCUGUGAGGGUGAGCGAAUCUCGGAAAGCCGGUCUCAGUUCGGAUUGGGGUCUGCAACUCGACCUCAUGAAGUCGGAGUCGCUAGUAAUCGCAGAUCAGCAACGCUGCGGUGAAUACGUUCCCGGGGCU
rnacentral:rRNA from 1 species